AAUAGCGUAUAUUAAAGUUGUUGCGGUUAAAAAGCUCGUAGUUGGAUUUCUGCUGAGAACGACCGGUCCGCCCUCUGGGUGUGUAUCUGGCUCUUUCUUGGCAUCUUCUUGGUGAACGUUGCUGCACUUGACUGUGUGGAGCGCUACCCAGGACUUUUACUUUGAGGAAAUUAGAGUGUUUCAAGCAGGCAUACGCCUUGAAUACAUUAGCAUGGAAUAAUAAGAUAGGACCUCGGUUCUAUUUUGUUGGUUUCUAGAGCUGAGGUAAUGAUUAAUAGGGAUAGUUGGGGGCAUUCGUAUUUAACUGUCAGAGGUGAAAUUCUCGGAUUUGUUAAAGACGGACUACUGCGAAAGCAUUUGCCAAGGAUGUUUNCAUUGA
rnacentral:rRNA from 1 species